AACGAACGCUGGCGGCAGGCUUAACACAUGCAAGUCGAACGCCCCGCAAGGGGAGUGGCAGACGGGUGAGUAACGCGUGGGAAUCUACCCAGUUCUACGGAACAACACAGGGAAACUUGUGCUAAUACCGUAUACGCCCUACGGGGGAAAGAUUUAUCGGAAUUGGAUGAGCCCGCGUUGGAUUAGCUAGUUGGUGGGGUAAUGGCCCACCAAGGCAACGAUCUAUAGCUGGUCUGAGAGGAUGAUCAGCCACACUGGGACUGAGACACGGCCCAGACUCCUACGGGAGGCAGCAGUGGGGAAUAUUGGACAAUGGGCGCAAGCCUGAUCCAGCAAUGCCGCGUGAGUGAAGAAGGCCUUAGGGUUGUAAAGCUCUUUCAGUGGGGACGAUAAUGACGGUACCCACAGAAGAAGCCCCGGCUAACUUCGUGCCAGCCGCCGCCGUAACAC
rnacentral:rRNA from 1 species